ensembl:lincRNA Gm9932 predicted gene 9932
AUUUUCUGCGCAACCAACAACGUCUCCAAACUGCUUGUUAGCAGUCCGUCCGUGGAGGCGGCUCCCUGCAUACGGAGCCCAAGACCUGACUGGAAAGUGACUGAGGUGUCACAUAGACCUACUGUUUUAUGUCCUGUAAACCCCUAUGAGGAGAGGUAUAGUCUGGGGAAAGCGGUACAGAUUUGCUCACAUAUAACCGAACAAUGACCAGGCAGAUGUACAGUGAGGAAACUGAGAGGCUGCAAGACCAUCCAACACGGUGUAGGGUUGACCCUCCCAUCGCUUUAUUCUGCCCGACGAAUCAAGUGAAAAUAUCCAUGCCAGGCAUGGGGGCUGAUGCCUGCCAAUCUCAGCUCUCAGAGGCUGACGGAGGAGGGCACGCACGCACGCACACACGCACACGCACUCUUGCUCGCACGUAAGUACACAGGUGAAGAGCGGGGUCCUUAUGAAACCUUUCUUGUCUUCCUACUUUUGCACUUUUUUGUGUGUUUCUGGAACAUUCUGUUCUUUCCCACUUCCCUGACAAGAAAUUUCAGCUCUGUGUUUCUUUCCUGCUGCUCUCCUCUCAGCGGUACCCCUGAAGCAGGAGCUGUCUGCCCCAGUUUCUUAAUGGGGGCCCUAAGGGGUAGGCACAAGAAGGCUUGCGGGUGCUGUAGGGACUGAUGUCUACCUUGCCCAGGCUGUGUCUGUGGCACAGAACACAGAGGGAACCAUAAGGGAAUGUUAAUUGGCUGGCCUGCUGGCUACAGCUUCCUUAAACACACUUCAGGCUUUAAAAUGUUCCAAUUAGUGGCAGCAACAAACAAGAACUCUCUACUUCUAACACUUCGAAACCAACAAACUAGAAGUGACUGAACCGUGCUACUUAGUCAAAGACAAAAGCCCAGUGCAAUUCUUUCUCUUUGAGGGAAUCGAUAGUUGUGGGAAGUGAUUGGGCCAGCCUGUCUCUGAUCUUCAUCUGGUUGGGAUGACGACACCCACAAUGGCUAGACAGCAGGUUGACCUUUAUUGCAUGUAGAGUAGACACAUCUCUGGUUUCAAACACCACCAUACAUGAAAGCCAAGGCCNNNNNNNNNNNAAGCCACAAAGUGGGAGGGGCCACCACACUGGCCAAUCCAUUUCUCCCAGCAGGGCAAAGAGAUAUGGGCAGACUUCUCACAAUGGAGGAGGGGCAGCUGCUUGUAUAAUUUUAUUUUAUUUUAUUAUGGUUUUUCGAGACAGAGUUUCUCUGUAUAGUCCUGGUUGUCCUGGAACUCACUUUGUAGACCAGGCUGGCCUCGAACUCAGAAAUCCGCCUGCCUCUGCUUGUAUCAUUUUAAGUGAAAUAGCUCGUAAGCGUUUCUGUAGGCUUUACAGAGACCUGUUGAGUCUGUGAUAUUCCAGGCUACCCUGGGAUCCUAGCAGCCAGCCUCCCAGGUGACAGUCAAGGCUUGGGCCUAGGAAUUGGCCUUCGGCCCUCUUUACACUGCAAUUCCAUUUCUUGCUUCAUUCUGCCGAGAUAAUUGUACAUUUGGGGAAAGGCAUCACAAAUACCAGUAAGGAAACAAGACAAGAGGAAGGCAAUUUCUUAGGGUGCUUCUAUUAAUUUAAGCCUUUAUUUUGGUAUACUCCCUCUGGCGUCCUAUUUUCUGUAUUUACUUCUCAGGGCUGGGAUAAUUACAUUUCUGAUCUUUCAGUAUGUGGGUGACCAGAAUUGGCUUAGUAAUCCUAUUUUAACACUUCAAAGGGUUCUUUUAUUCCGACCUGUUGGGUUCCUUUUGUGCGUUUUGGUCUUCGCAUCCUCUGCACUUCUAACUCCACCCCUCUCCCCUUUUUUUCCUUUUCUCAAUUUUUCCACUGUUUGCACACAGAUCUCUUCACACUGGGAGUUGCUGGCUGAGACAUGUGUGUUCCACAGCCAAUAGGAGGGUGGCUGGCUCAGGGGGACUCUUCGCAUGGUGGUUUGGACUAAGGAUUGCUUUCUUGGUAUCUGACAGUGCACUGAGAUCUCUGAGGCACACCUCACACCCCCACAAAGGAGAUGUUUUAACAGAGCCAUGACUAAAUCUCUAAGAACCAACCUCCAUCAACCUGUGAAGGGUUCAUCGGCUGUCCUUUUGGCAGAACUUUUAAUUUU